rnacentral:lncRNA from 1 species
UUUCUACCAAGCCAAAUAAACCAUCAUGUUGUUGUCCAAACCAUACUACCCAUAUAGUUGUCAAUCUCCUUUCUAAUUAAGCUACAGAACCGAAAGAAAGCAAUACAAUUAAUAUUUAGAUCUACCUCAAUUCCCAACCACCUCUCAAUACCCCUCCACACUUUCACUUCUACUGUACAAUUCAGAAAUAAGUGUAAUAAAGUCUCAUCCUCAGAAAAACAUAAUGGAUAAGUCAUAUCUCCAUCGCUAUGCAUAAUACCUCACUUCAGCAAUUGAUUCUUCGU